GCAGCCGGCCAGGCCAGCCUCCCUCUAAACGUGGCGUCUGCUGCCACUAACUCCAAGGCCGGGGAAGGUGCAGAGCCCCAACUUCCGGUUUCAAGAAAACUCCGUGAGAGUGACAUCCGCCCUCACUUGCCACCGCAAGCAAAACUGAAGGAGAGCGGUGCCUGAGGACGGUUCCCUUCCAAGGACACAAUCAAGCUUUGCAAAAUCCAGGCACAACCUCAGUUCAGCCACCCAGGAAAAUCCCGGCAUAGCCUUCCACCUCCAGCUCAGCACUUAGGUCAAGCAGGCCACAGGCUGGCAGAAAGAUCCUCCUCCCCUUCCCCACCCAAGCAGUUGUUUCCUGGGCGUCCCAGCGAAAAAUCGGACCUUCAGCUGCCACUGCAGCCACGUGAUCCAACCCUGGUGACUCACAGGCGGGCCACACCCCUUCAGGCCUUCCCGCCAGGCCCUGCCACCAGCCAGCCAACUCUGGGAUGCAUCUUAUUACCAAAGGGAACUGCUAACUAAUGCCCUUGACAGUCCAAAUAAUUACUUUCUUUCAGCUAAAAGAACUUGCUAUAAAAUACAUACAGGCACAAGUGGACACACAGCCAGUUCUCCCAAUCCUCCCCCACCUUCCCCAAGACGUGGGGGACCGCCUGACAAGGCAGUGGGAAGCUAGACAGCUACACAUUUGUUUAAAAAGAAAGCUAUCUUACACAUUAGUCAUCUUUUUUCCCAAAAAUUUUAUUGGGGGAAAACUACAAAACAUUUACAGUACAAUGUUUACAGUCACAAUUUGUAGUGAACUGAUUCCCCAAAAUAUAUUACAACUCAAGUUGACUUAUCUUGUUACAUUCAAAAACCUACUCUGUCAAAGUAGUCCAGAGAGUACAUACAUAGUGCUCCAACUGUACCUACGUACAAACAAACUAAAGCUACUGCUCAUUCAUCCGCUGUCCAGGAAAGCUUGGGAAACAUUCCUGCCUUUCUACAUGGAAAAAAAAAUAGUACAAGUAUGGGAAUUUUCUGUAAUUAAACAAGGCAUAUUCAUGUACUACAUACCAUUUCAGCGCUAAGAGGUGGCCUCUUCACUUUAUAUCUAUAUAAAAAAAAGUGGUAAAAAUCUUUUCCUUUUGUGCAGUUGAACCCAUCCUACAUUCAGAUUCUCUCAAGCACUGAUAAACAAAAUACUUAUUUGGUUGAGGAAGAUUUAAGGCAAGUUCGGCCCUUCCAAAGGCACUGAGAGACUACCCCCCCCAUUAUUGCUACAUGUCUUGAUACUCAAGAGUAUGUCACAGUAGAACUGGUGGAACAAAAGCAAAUAUUUUUUGCUAGUUUAUAAAGUUGGAAUUAGAAAAGUAUGCCACAUUUAAGCCUGAUUGCAAAGUAUGUGGUCAUUUUUUCCUUUAAAGUUGGAUGGGCUACAACCAUUAUACAUUCUAAGAAAACUCAUAAGAUGUUCCUCAAACUAUUUCCACAGCAUCAAGAUAGAUUUCUGCAAAGAAAUCAUGCAAUCUUUCAAAAUUUACGUAAACAAGGAAAGAAAUUAAUGAAAUAAAUAUUACAUACAAUCUCUUAAAUUAAGAAUUUUUACUCAUUUACAAUAAAAUAACCAAGUGAAGUUACAAAAGGCAUAUAUUACUGUGAAAAGAACAUACACUCCACAUUUUGCCGAUUAAUAAUGGCAAUCAUAAUUUAACAUAAUAAAAGAAUAUAUAUCUAUUGCUUUUCAUCAUACUUGAUAAAUACAGUAUGAACAAUUUUCAAUGUAUACUUUUCACAAGAUAAUAAAUAAGUUAAAUAGUUUUCAUAUUGAGUUGUGGUGCAGUGGUGCGAAUCAACUCAAAAUAGCUAAAAAUUCAGCAGUUAUAUUCCCCAACAAUUACAAACUAAGCUCUGCCCAAGGCUUCCAGAGAGCAGACAAAAUGGUUUUAAACUAAACAUCCACGAAGUGGUGGCAAUGAAACCAGUAACCAGUAUGAACCUUUGGAAUGCAAGGGUUUGUCCCCCCCCCAAGACAUAUAACUUUGUUAAAAAAAGAAAAAACACGAAAACCCCUCAACCCUAUGGGGCUGAGGGCUAAUAUCAAGGCAUAUUCUUGGCAGAAAUAUUGGAUUCUAAAAGCUUAUAGGUUUAGCAAGGUGGUGGUUGGCUGGUUUGUUUACACUGGUCUGAGAAACAAUUAGGAACUUCUUGAUAGGAGUUCCCACAUCUGGACUGUAACUAAUGCUUUUCAAGUGAAGAGAUGGAAUGGUGGUUGGUAGCUGCUGGUGCUGGGUUGAUUUUUCCUGAAGUCCCAAACUCAUCGACACCUAAAAAAGUUUGUUUGGUUUUUUUGUUCUAUUCGCAUCACAACUGCCCCGUUGUGAAUAUUUUGUUCAUCAACACAAAAAGUUCGUUGGCUUUCUUUUUUGCUCAACAAGAAUGAAACUUCGUAAUAAUAA